rnacentral:rRNA from 1 species
GGGUUGUGAGGUUAAGCGACUAAGCGUACACGGUGGAUGCCCUGGCAGUCAGAGGCGAUGAAGGACGUGCUAAUCUGCGAUAAGCGUCGGUAAGGUGAUAUGAACCGUUAUAACCGGCGAUUUCCGAAUGGGGAAACCCAGUGUGUUUCGACACACUAUCAUUAACUGAAUCCAUAGGUUAAUGAGGCGAACCGGGGGAACUGAAACAUCUAAGUACCCCGAGGAAAAGAAAUCAACCGAGAUUCCCCCAGUAGCGGCGAGCGAACGGGGAGCAGCCCAGAGCCUGAAUCAGUGUGUGUGUUAGUGGAAGCGUCUGGAAAGGCGCGCGAUACAGGGUGACAGCCCCGUACACAAAAAUGCACAUGCUGUGAGCUCGAUGAGUAGGGCGGGACACGUGGUAUCCUGUCUGAAUAUGGGGGGACCAUCCUCCAAGGCUAAAUACUCCUGACUGACCGAUAGUGAACCAGUACCGUGAGGGAAAGGCGAAAAGAACCCCGGCGAGGGGAGUGAAAAAGAACCUGAAACCGUGUACGUACAAGCAGUGGGAGCACGCUUAGGCGUGUGACUGCGUACCUUUUGUAUAAUGGGUCAGCGACUUAUAUUCUGUAGCAAGGUUAACCGAAUAGGGGAGCCGAAGGGAAACCGAGUCUUAACUGGGCGUUAAGUUGCAGGGUAUAGACCCGAAACCCGGUGAUCUAGCCAUGGGCAGGUUGAAGGUUGGGUAACACUAACUGGAGGACCGAACCGACUAAUGUUGAAAAAUUAGCGGAUGACUUGUGGCUGGGGGUGAAAGGCCAAUCAAACCGGGAGAUAGCUGGUUCUCCCCGAAAGCUAUUUAGGUAGCGCCUCGUGAAUUCAUCUCCGGGGGUAGAGCACUGUUUCGGCAAGGGGGUCAUCCCGACUUACCAACCCGAUGCAAACUGCGAAUACCGGAGAAUGUUAUCACGGGAGACACACGGCGGGUGCUAACGUCCGUCGUGAAGAGGGAAACAACCCAGACCGCCAGCUAAGGUCCCAAAGUCAUGGUUAAGUGGGAAACGAUGUGGGAAGGCCCAGACAGCCAGGAUGUUGGCUUAGAAGCAGCCAUCAUUUAAAGAAAGCGUAAUAGCUCACUGGUCGAGUCGGCCUGCGCGGAAGAUGUAACGGGGCUAAACCAUGCACCGAAGCUGCGGCAGCGACGCUUAUGCGUUGUUGGGUAGGGGAGCGUUCUGUAAGCCUGCGAAGGUGUGCUGUGAGGCAUGCUGGAGGUAUCAGAAGUGCGAAUGCUGACAUAAGUAACGAUAAAGCGGGUGAAAAGCCCGCUCGCCGGAAGACCAAGGGUUCCUGUCCAACGUUAAUCGGGGCAGGGUGAGUCGACCCCUAAGGCGAGGCCGAAAGGCGUAGUCGAUGGGAAACAGGUUAAUAUUCCUGUACUUGGUGUUACUGCGAAGGGGGGACGGAGAAGGCUAUGUUGGCCGGGCGACGGUUGUCCCGGUUUAAGCGUGUAGGCUGGUUUUCCAGGCAAAUCCGGAAAAUCAAGGCUGAGGCGUGAUGACGAGGCACUACGGUGCUGAAGCAACAAAUGCCCUGCUUCCAGGAAAAGCCUCUAAGCAUCAGGUAACAUCAAAUCGUACCCCAAACCGACACAGGUGGUCAGGUAGAGAAUACCAAGGCGCUUGAGAGAACUCGGGUGAAGGAACUAGGCAAAAUGGUGCCGUAACUUCGGGAGAAGGCACGCUGAUAUGUAGGUGAAGUCCCUCGCGGAUGGAGCUGAAAUCAGUCGAAGAUACCAGCUGGCUGCAACUGUUUAUUAAAAACACAGCACUGUGCAAACACGAAAGUGGACGUAUACGGUGUGACGCCUGCCCGGUGCCGGAAGGUUAAUUGAUGGGGUUAGCGCAAGCGAAGCUCUUGAUCGAAGCCCCGGUAAACGGCGGCCGUAACUAUAACGGUCCUAAGGUAGCGAAAUUCCUUGUCGGGUAAGUUCCGACCUGCACGAAUGGCGUAAUGAUGGCCAGGCUGUCUCCACCCGAGACUCAGUGAAAUUGAACUCGCUGUGAAGAUGCAGUGUACCCGCGGCAAGACGGAAAGACCCCGUGAACCUUUACUAUAGCUUGACACUGAACAUUGAGCCUUGAUGUGUAGGAUAGGUGGGAGGCUUUGAAGUGUGGACGCCAGUCUGCAUGGAGCCGACCUUGAAAUACCACCCUUUAAUGUUUGAUGUUCUAACGUUGACCCGUAAUCCGGGUUGCGGACAGUGUCUGGUGGGUAGUUUGACUGGGGCGGUCUCCUCCUAAAGAGUAACGGAGGAGCACGAAGGUUGGCUAAUCCUGGUCGGACAUCAGGAGGUUAGUGCAAUGGCAUAAGCCAGCUUGACUGCGAGCGUGACGGCGCGAGCAGGUGCGAAAGCAGGUCAUAGUGAUCCGGUGGUUCUGAAUGGAAGGGCCAUCGCUCAACGGAUAAAAGGUACUCCGGGGAUAACAGGCUGAUACCGCCCAAGAGUUCAUAUCGACGGCGGUGUUUGGCACCUCGAUGUCGGCUCAUCACAUCCUGGGGCUGAAGUAGGUCCCAAGGGUAUGGCUGUUCGCCAUUUAAAGUGGUACGCGAGCUGGGUUUAGAACGUCGUGAGACAGUUCGGUCCCUAUCUGCCGUGGGCGCUGGAGAACUGAGGGGGGCUGCUCCUAGUACGAGAGGACCGGAGUGGACGCAUCACUGGUGUUCGGGUUGUCAUGCCAAUGGCACUGCCCGGUAGCUAAAUGCGGAAGAGAUAAGUGCUGAAAGCAUCUAAGCACGAAACUUGCCCCGAGAUGAGUUCUCCCUGACUCCUUGAGAGUCCUGAAGGAACGUUGAAGACGACGACGUUGAUAGGCCGGGUGUGUAAGCGCAGCGAUGCGUUGAGCUAACCGGUACUAAUGAACCGUGAGGCUUAACCUUACAACGCCGAAGGUGUUU